UCGGGUUGUAAAGCACUUUUGUUCGGAAAGAAAUCCUCUGGGUUAAUACCUCGGGGGGAUGACGGUACCGGAAGAAUAAGCACCGGCUAACUACGUGCCAGCAGCCGCGGUAAUACGUAGGGUGCGAGCGUUAAUCGGAAUUACUGGGCGUAAAGCGUGCGCAGGCGGUUCCGCUAAGACCGAUGUGAAAUCCCCGGGCUUAACCUGGGAAACUGCAUUGGUGACUGGCGAGCUAGAGUGUGGCAGAGGGGGGGUAGAAUUUCCACGUGUAGCAGUGAAAUGCGUAGAGAUGUGGAGGAAUACCGAUGGCGAAGGCAGCCUCCUGGGCUAACACUGACGCUCAUGCACGAAAGCGUGGGGAGCAAACAGGAUUAGAUACCCUGGUAGUCCACGCCCUAAACGAUGUCAACUAGUUGUUGGGGAUUCAUUUCCUUAGUAACGUAGCUAACGCGUGAAGUUGACCGCCUGGGGAGUACGGUCGCAAGAUUAAAACUCAAAGGAAUUGACGGGGACCCGCACAAGCGGUGGAUGAUGUGGAUUAAUUCGAUGCAACGCGAAAAACCUUACCUACCCUUGACAUGGACGGAACCCUGCUG
rnacentral:rRNA from 1 species